AGCAGCCGCGGUAAUUCCAGCUCCAAUAGCGUAUAUUAAAGUUGUUGCAGUUAAAAGCUCGUAGUUGAAUUUCGGGGUUAGCAGGUCGGUCGUGCCAUCGGUAUGAACUGGUCUCGCUGAUCCCUCCCUCUUGACGAACUGUGAUGCCAUUAAUUUGGUGUCGCAGGGAAUCAGGACUGUUACUUUGAAAAAAUUAGAGUGUUUAAAGCAGGCUCACGCUUGAAUACAUUAGCAUGGAAUAAUGAAAUAGGACGUUUGAUCCUAUUUUGUUGGCUUCUAGGAUUGACGUAAUGAUUAAUAGGGAUAGUUGGGGGCAUUAGUAUUCAAUUGUCAGAGGUGAAAUUCUUGGAUUUAUUGAAGACUAACUACUGCGAAAGCAUUUGCCAAGGAUGUUUUCAUUAAUCAAGAACGAAAGUUAGGGGAUCGAAGACGAUCAGAUACCGUCGUAGUCUUAACCAUAAACUAUGCCGACUAGGGAUCGGAUGAUGUUAAUUUUAUAAUGACUCAUUCGGCACCUUAC
rnacentral:rRNA from 1 species